UACAGAGGUCCCAAGCGUUGUUCGGAUUCACUGGGCGUAAAGGGUGCGUAGGUGGUGAGGUAAGUCGGAUGUGAAAUCUCCGAGCUCAACUCGGAAAUGGCAUUGGAAACUACCUUGCUCGAGGGUUGGAGGGGGGACUGGAAUGCUUGGUGUAGCAGUGAAAUGCGUAGAUAUCAAGCGGAACACCAGUGGCGAGGGCGAGUCCCUGGACAACUCCUGACACUGAGGCACGAAAGCUAGGGGAGCAAACAGG
rnacentral:rRNA from 1 species